rnacentral:rRNA from 1 species
AAAUGUAUGUUGACGUAUUCUGAAAGGGAUACUUCUUCGGACAAUAUACAAGGUGCUGCAUGGUUGUCGUCAGCUCGUGCCGUGAGGUGUCGGGUAAGUCCCAUAACGAGCGCAACCCUAUCAUUAGUGCCAUCAGGUCAAGCUGGGGACUCUAAUGAAACUGCCUACGCAAGUAGUGAGGAAGGUGGGGAUGACGUCAAAUCAGCACGGCCCUUACGUCCAGGGCUACACACGUGCUACAAUGGCCGGUACAAAGGGCAGCUACCUGGUGACAGGAUGCUAAUCUCAAAAGCCGGUCCCAGUUCGGAUCGGAGUCUGCAACCCGACUUCAUGAAGUUGGAAUCGCUAGUAAUCGCGCAUCAGCAUGGCGCGGUGAAUACGUUCCCGGGCCUU